rnacentral:tRNA from 1 species
GGUUGUAGUUCAGUGGUAGAGCGCUUGCCUUGUAUGUGUGAGGCACUGGGUUGGAUUGCCAGAACCA